rnacentral:misc_RNA from 1 species
AAACCGGCAGUCUUCAAAAUGUCCCAAGAGAAGUUCACAAGACCACCGCUAGGUACGAUGAGUUGAACCCAGUGGGUAUGGGCGCCUU